rnacentral:rRNA from 1 species
UACGUAGGGGGCAAGCGUUGUCCGGAUUUAUUGGGCGUAAAGAGCGUGUAGGCGGCCAGACAGGUCUGCUGUGAAAACUCGAGGCUCAACCUCGAGACGCCGGUGGAAACCGUAAAGCUAGAGUCCGGAAGAGGAGAGAGGAAUUCCUGGUGUAGCGGUGAAAUGCGCAGAUAUCAGGAGGAACACCGGUGGCGAAGGCGGGUCUCUGGGCCGAUACUGACGCUGAGGAGCGAAAGCGUGGGGAGCGAACAGG